GCCUGGAAGUGGUCCCUCCUAAGAAGUCCUGCCAUACUGAAUUAGUCUGUGCAGCAUCAGGAGAAUUCUCUGCUUGAGGACACCUUUGAGGCAGCAAGGUGGUGUACCACAAGGUCCUUCAAAGGAAGCCUUUCCCUUCCCCAGGUCAUCACCAUGGACAGGGAAGCUUGCCGGAGGGCAGUGGAGAGGUCAUGCUUCUGUGAUGGCCUGGAUGAAGAGGAGAUGAACGAUUGCAGGGAACCGUUCCUGUUCAUGUUUAGUUUUCAGUCAGACUAUGAGGAGUUCUGCAGAGAAAUUGAGGAAAAAAGGAAGAUGAAGGUGUUUUCUGGUUUUGAAAUGCCAUAGUACAGCGGUGUCACAGUUUUUGCAUUCUUUUUCCUCCUCACAUUGUUUUUUUGGAGGUUCUCUUGUUUUUUGUGUGCUUUUUGGUUCAUUUGUUUGUACUUUUUUUUAUUCCUGUGUUGGCUGUUGUUUGCUCUAUUAAAUUUACCUUUUUUGAAAAAUUUA